GAACGCUGGCGGCGUGCUUAACACAUGCAAGUCGAACGGAAAGGCCCUGCUUUUGUGGGGUGCUCGAGUGGCGAACGGGGGAGUAACACGGGAGUAACCUGCCCUUGACUUUGGGAUAACUUCAGGAAACUGGGGCUAAUACCGGAUAGGAGCUCCUGCUGCAUGGUGGGGGUUGGAAAGUUUCGGCGGUUGGGGAUGGACUCGCGGCUUAUCAGCUUGUUGGUGGGGUAGUGGCUUACCAAGGCUUUGACGGGUAGCCGGCCUGAGAGGGUGACCGGCCACAUUGGGACUGAGAUACGGCCCAGACUCCUACGGGAGGCAGCAGUGGGGAAUAUUGCACAAUGGGCGGAAGCCUGAUGCAGCAACGCCGCGUGCGGGAUGACGGCCUUCGGGUUGUAAACCGCUUUCGCCUGUGACGAAGCGUGAGUGACGGUAAUGGGUAAAGAAGCACCGGCUAACUACGUG
rnacentral:rRNA from 1 species